GAUGAAGAACGUAGCGAAAUGCGAUAAGUAAUGUGAAUUGCAGAAUUCAGUGAAUCAUCGAAUCUUUGAACGCACAUUGCGCCCGCCAGUAUUCUGGCGGGCAUGCCUGUUCGAGCGUCAUUACAACCCUCAGGCCCCCGGGCCUGGCGUUGGGGAUCGGCGGAAGCCCCCUGUGGGCACACGCCGUCCCUCAAAUACAGUGGCGGUCCCGCCGCAGCUUCCAUUGCGUAGUAGCUAACACCUCGCAACUGGAGAGCGGCGCGGCCAUGCCGUAAAACACCCAACUUCUGAAUGUUGACCUCGAAUCAGGUAGGAAUACCCGCUGAACUUAAGCAUAUCAGCGGAGGA
rnacentral:misc_RNA from 1 species